UGUUAGUGGAAGCGUCUGGAAAGGCGUGCGAUACAGGGUGACAGCCCCGUACACAAAAAUGCACAUACUGUGAGCUCGAUGAGUAGGGCGGGACACGUGGUAUCCUGUCUGAAUAUGGGGGGACCAUCCUCCAAGGCUAAAUACUCCUGACUGACCGAUAGUGAACCAGUACCGUGAGGGAAAGGCGAAAAGAACCCCGGCGAGGGGAGUGAAAAAGAACCUGAAACCGUGUACGUACAAGCAGUGGGAGCCUCUUAAUGGGGUGACUGCGUACCUUUUGUAUAAUGGGUCAGCGACUUAUAUUCUGUAGCAAGGUUAACCGAAUAGGGGAGCCGAAGGGAAACCGAGUCUUAACUGGGCGUUAAGUUGCAGGGUAUAGACCCGAAACCCGGUGAUCUAGCCAUGGGCAGGUUGAAGGUUGGGUAACACUAACUGGAGGACCGAACCGACUAAUGUUGAAAAAUUAGCGGAUGACUUGUGGCUGGGGGUGAAAGGCCAAUCAAACCGGGAGAUAGCUGGUUCUCCCCGAAAGCUAUUUAGGUAGCGCCUCGUGAAUUCAUCUCCGGGGGUAGAGCACUGUUUCGGCAAGGGGGUCAUCCCGACUUACCAACCCGAUGCAAACUGCGAAUACCGGAGAAUGUUAUCACGGGAGACACACGGCGGGUGCUAACGUCCGUCGUGA
rnacentral:rRNA from 1 species